GAAGUGGCCUUAAUGCAACGUCUCUCAGGAACAGUGUUCUGUUUUGUUUAUUAUUUGCUCUUUGGUUCCCAUACCAUUUGCUCUUUGGUUCUAAUUUAAUUUUCACACAAGUCUUCAAGGUGCUCUACCCUUACCCACAUUUUGCAAAUGAGUUCAUUGAGCUUACUGAACCUGUCCCAUAUCACACAGCCGACAGUGGAGGGCUGCCUGCAGACCCCCCACUCUUACCUAUUAUGUCUUUUGGGUAACACUGGUAGGGGCAGGUCAAUUGCUCUCCCUUCAGUUAUGAUGGAAAACCAGGAGGAAACACUACUCGGAAGAGUUUUGCCCCUUUGCCUGCACCAGCUUUCACAGUGUUCAAAUGGAGCGCACCUCGGAGUGGAAACCUCUCUGAGCUUCCAUCUCUAAAUGAGGCGGUAGCAUCAGACUGCUGAAAGCUGAGCUCUCCGGGGGCUGAUGGUCUGUGAUUACUGAGCAUUGGUAGAAGUGGGGGCUAAUUGAGUGAGUUAGUAAUUUCGUUGCCAAGGUAACUCUUUCCUGAUUGGAAGGAAGGGAUCACAGGUUUCAACAUAGACUUUGCUAGAUAGGAAAGUGGUGUCUGAUCUUCGCUCCAGCUUUCUGCAUCUGAGCUGGAAAAAGAGCAAAAACGGGUAAAAAUUGAAUCCAAAUAUUGUCGGAUGUAUGCCUAAUUUAGAAUGAAAUCUUGGGGUGGCAGACUCUGGAGUUCUCUGUGAGGUGUG
rnacentral:lncRNA from 1 species